AGCGAACGCUGGCGGCAGGCUUAACACAUGCAAGUCGAGCGGGCACUUCGGUGUCAGCGGCAGACGGGUGAGUAACACGUGGGAACGUACCCUUUGGUUCGGAAUAACGCUGGGAAACUAGCGCUAAUACCGGAUACGCCCUUUUGGGGAAAGGCUUGCUGCCGAAGGAUCGGCCCGCGUCUGAUUAGCUAGUUGGUGGAGUAAUGGCCUACCAAGGCGACGAUCAGUAGCUGGUCUGAGAGGAUGAUCAGCCACACUGGGACUGAGACACGGCCCAGACUCCUACGGGAGGCAGCAGUGGGGAAUAUUGGACAAUGGGCGCAAGCCUGAUCCAGCCAUGCCGCGUGAGUGAUGAAGGCCUUAGGGUUGUAAAGCUCUUUUGUCCGGGACGAUAAUGACGGUACCGGAAGAAUAAGCCCCGGCUAACUUCGUG
rnacentral:rRNA from 1 species